AGUCGAACGGAAGUUUAAGCAAUUAAACUUUAGUGGCGAACGGGUGAGUAACGCGUAAGCAAUCUGCCCCUAAGACGAGGAUAACAGUUGGAAACGACUGCUAAGACUGGAUAGCAGACAAGAAGGCAUCUUCUUGUUUUUAAAAGACCUAUUAAUAGGUAUGCUUAGGGAGGAGCUUGCGUCACAUUAGUUAGUUGGUGGGGUAAAGGCCUACCAAGACUAUGAUGUGUAGCCGGGCUGAGAGGUUGAACGGCCACAUUGGGACUGAGACACGGCCCAAACUCCUACGGGAGGCAGCAGUAGGGAAUUUUCGGCAAUGGAGGAAACUCUGACCGAGCAACGCCGCGUGAACGAUGAAGUAUUUCGGUACGUAAAGUUCUUUUAUUAGGGAAGAAUAAAUGAUGGAAAAAUCAUUCUGACGGUACCUAAUGAAUAAGCCCCGGCUAACUAUGUGCCAGCAGCCGCGGUAAUACAUAGGGGGCAAGCGUUAUCCGGAAUUAUUGGGCGUAAAGGGUGCGUAGGCUGUUAAAUAAGUUUAUGGUCUAAGUGCAAUGCUCAACAUUGUGAUGCUAUAAAAACUGUUUAGCUAGAGUAAGAUAGAGGCAAGUGGAAUUCCAUGUGUAGUGGUAAAAUGCGUAAAUAUAUGGAGGAACACCAGUAGCGAAGGCGGCUUGCUGGGUCUUUACUGACGCUGAGGCACGAAAGCGUGGGGAGCAAACAGGAUUAGAUACCCUGGUAGUCCACGCCGUAAACGAUGAGUACUAAACGUUGGGUAAAACCAGUGUUGAAGUUAACACAUUAAGUACUCCGCCUGAGUAGUACGUACGCAAGUAUGAAACUUAAAGGAAUUGACGGGACUCCGCACAAGCGGUGGAUCAUGUUGUUUAAUUCGAAGGUACCCGAAAAACCUCACCAGGUCUUGACAUGCUUCUGCAAAGCUGUAGAAACACAGUGGAGGUUAUCAGUUGCACAGGUGGUGCAUGGUUGUCGUCAGCUCGUGUCGUGAGAUGUUGGGUUAAGUCCCGCAACGAGCGCAACCCUUAUUGUUAGUUGCCAGCACGUAAUGGUGGGGACUUUAGCAAGACUGCCAGUGAUAAAUUGGAGGAAGGUGGGGACGACGUCAAAUCAUCAUGCCCCUUAUGACCUGGGCUACAAACGUGAUACAAUGGCUGUUACAAAGGGUAGCUGAAACGCAAGUUUUUGGCGAAUCUCAAAAAAACAGUCUCAGUUCGGAUUGAAGUCUGCAACUCGACUUCAUGAAG
rnacentral:rRNA from 1 species